rnacentral:rRNA from 1 species
UACAGAGGGGGCAAGCGUUGUUCGGAAUUACUGGGCGUAAAGGGAGCGUAGGCGGACUGUUUAGUCAGAGGUGAAAGCCCAGGGCUCAACCUUGGAAUUGCCUUUGAUACUGGCAGUCUUGAGUACGGAAGAGGUAUGUGGAACUCCGAGUGUAGAGGUGAAAUUCGUAGAUAUUCGGAAGAACACCAGUGGCGAAGGCGACAUAACUGGUCCGUUACUGACGCUGAGGCUCGAAAGCGUGGGGAGCAAACAGG